CUCCACAGCAACAUUUUCUUCCUGCUCGUACUCCGACUCAGUGAAUUCCUCUCCCAAAAUACCCUCCUCAUAUUCAUCAUCCAGCUCAGGACCUUCACCAAACUCCACAUCAGUUUCAGCAGCCUGCACCUCUGGUUCGGCAUCAUGCAACUCAUGUUCAACAGCUUGCACCUCUUGUUCAGCAGCAUGCAGCUCCUGCUGAGCCUGCUGCUGUGGUCCAGAAGCAUACACAUCAAUUUCAGUAGGCUACACCUCUGCUUCGACAUCCUGUUCAGCAGCCUGCACCUCUUGUUCAGCAGCAUGCAGCUCCUGCUGAGCCUGCUGCUGUGGUUCAGCGUCAUGCAGCUCAUGUUCAGACCUCAACUGUGGUUCAACAUCAUGUGGUUUCUCCGGUUCAGCAGCAUGCACUUCUGAUUCAUGUGAGUCUACUUCAGCCCCUAUAAAAUCAACCUCUGUAUACUCAUGCUCUGUUCCAUGCACUGUAUAAACUUCCUCUUCAUCUGCUUCCAUGUCAUCCACUUCAUCAACUACAUACACGUCAUCACCUUCUACUGAUUCAUCAAAAAUCUCAAUUACAUAACAUGGUUGCUGCUCAUUCAAUGCUUCACCAGACUUUUGAACCUUCACCAACUCCUCACCAGUCUCACAAUCAAACACUCGAACAUCCUUCUGUUCUAUUUCAUACCAAGGCAACUCCAAAACCUCAACUACAGGCAAGCAAUACAGUUCAGCUGUCCUAUUAUCACCAAGCCACUUCACUAAAUUUAUGAAAUCUGAGUCUUUAACCAACCAAAAUGAACCUUCACUCAUUCUUUUCUUCUCCAUCUUGUACAGAUAUCUAAUUCUAUCAGAAUAUCCUAACAUCUUCACGGCAUUGUCCAAAAGAAAUCUAUUGAAGAAAUCAGGGUCGAUAUAGUCUAUAUAACUUAUUUUCCCAUGCUCAUACACAAAAUUUCUCAUCUUCUGCAAUAAAAUUCCACCAUGAUGAAGCCGUAUGCUGAAGUACUUUGAAUUUUCCCCUG
rnacentral:lncRNA from 1 species